rnacentral:rRNA from 1 species
AGUCGAGCGAGAACCCAGGCUUCGGCCUGGGGGAAAGCGGCGAACGGGUGAGUAACACGUGGGUAAUCUGCCCUCGGCAUCGGGAUAGCCCGGGGAAACCCGGAUUAAUACCGGAUGGCCCAACAGCUCUUCGGAGCGGUUGGAAAAGGUAGCUUCGGCCUCCGGCCGAGGAGGAGCCCGCGGCGGAUUAGCUUGUUGGUGAGGUAACGGCUCACCAAGGCUCCGAUCCGUAGCUGGUCUGAGAGGACGAUCAGCCACACUGGGACUGAGACACGGCCCAGACUCCUACGGGAGGCAGCAGUGGGGAAUCUUGCGCAAUGGGCGAAAGCCUGACGCAGCGACGCCGCGUGAGGGAAGAAGGCCUUCGGGUUGUAAACCUCUUUCAGGAGGGACGAAGCUACUCGGGUUAAUAGCCCAGAGGGUGACGGUACCUCCAGAAGAAGCCCCGGCUAACUACGUGCCAGCAGCCGCGGUAAUACGUAGGGGGCUAGCGUUGUCCGGAUUUAUUGGGCGUAAAGAGCGUGUAGGCGGCCAGGUAGGUCUGCUGUGAAAACUCGAGGCUCAACCUCGAGACGUCGGCGGAAACCAUCUGGCUAGAGUCCGGAAGAGGAGAGUGGAAUUCCUGGUGUAGCGGUGAAAUGCGCAGAUAUCAGGAAGAACACCCGUGGCGAAGGCGGCUCUCUGGGACGGUACUGACGCUGAGACGCGAAAGCGUGGGGAGCGAACAGGAUUAGAUACCCUGGUAGUCCACGCCGUAAACGAUGGGUGCUAGGUGUGGGCGGUGUCGACUCCGUCCGUGCCGAAGCUAACGCAUUAA